rnacentral:lncRNA from 1 species
GUGUGGUCCGAGAACGGUCGAAAUGGAGGCGUUCUAUCUAUUUUGUGCAAUGUGCUUGAUUUUCUCGAUCGAAACACGAUCGAUACCGAACGAGAUCCGAUCGAUCGAAAGUGAUGUCACCAGUGAAAGUAGCUCGAGAACAAUGGUCCAAAAACCUUUAAGUUAUAUUGUAAAUGACUUGAAGGCAUAUCGAAGGAGUAAACGGCAGGUGUUCAAGGCAGAUCAUUGUCGUGCGGGGUCGUGUCCUAGAUGGUUGGGGGGGUCGAUUGUUUGUGGUCCGUGCACAGGGUAAUCAAGAAGCUGGUUCAUUAAAAGGUCCCAUUUGGUGUAAAAGACGGCGAUGCUGAAAUAAAUGGACAUCUUCAUUGAAUAGUAUUAUAAAAUUAACAAGUACUUAAUUGCCAAAAGAUGAUGAAAACACCAAAUAACCAUAUUAUCUGAAAGAACUGUCUUUUAUUAAUUUAAGUGAAGGCGUUUUUUGUUACCAUGGAUUUUUAACACGAAUAUUCGUGGUUGUUGCAAUAUUAGUGCCGGAGUAGGUAGGAAUAACUGUAGAUAUUCUUACUUUUUCUCUAGUAAUCUGUAAUCUGAGUUUAUCAGAUUGUGAAAACAAUUGUUUUCCUAGUUAAAUUACUUUAUAUACUUAUAGUUUAUAUUUUUUCUAAUAGCUAAUUGUUUAUAGGAUAAAUUAACAUUUGCUCAAUAUUAUAUUGUUACUUUUGAUUAUUUUGAAUUACGUUGUUUAUUAGAGUUCCAAAAUAUGUAAAGAAAAACAAAAAAGCGAAAUAAAAAUCAAAGAGUGAAGAGCAAUUUUCUAACAAGUGCGUUUUACGUUAUUCUAGCCGUAGCCCUCAUUCGCACGAGAGUUUAAUUAACGGACGUUACGUUCGCUUAAAACACGACGCCUUAUUUUCGAGCAGUGUUGCAUUUUCAAUUUUGGGUGUUGGAAAUCGACCUUCAUUCAUCUUCGUACUAUACGCUACGCCCGCCAACGCUGGGUAUUAACGCAUCGCUAUUUUAACUCUAGUGCGAAUGAGGUUUUAGGCAUCGUAAGAUCGUGGUAAAAUAAGGAAAUCAAUCAUAAGGACACACAGUCAAUAACAAUAUACAAUAUUUAUUGUUAUUGAUUGUGUUAUAUUACAAUAUCUUAUUGACUGCGGUAGGAGCAAUCUUACUUUUUGUCAAUAUUAAUGUAAGGGCGUAAGCCUGUAAAUCAGCAAUGCUGAUUGCAUUUCUAAGAGUAAUAAUUCUAUGCCUAAUGUUUAUUAUGAUAUUCAUGUUGUAUGGAUUAUAAUUUAUGUGAAUAAUAUUAUUAUAGUAGAACAAUAACAUCUUUAUAGUAAAACACGACAAGAAAAAUUUGUAAGUUCUACUAGAUUUUCCUAUGUUUUAUUAACCGACUUCCAAAAAGGAGGAGGUUUUACGUUCGGCUGUAUGUAUGUUUUUUUUCUUUCCGUUUCUG